AUUGAACGCUGGCGGCAUGCCUAACACAUGCAAGUCGAGCGAGCGGAGGACGGGUGAGUAAUGUAUGGGGAAUGCGCGAUAGAGGGGGAUAAGAACGGGAAACGGUAGCUAAAAACGCAUAAAAUGGGAUAACCCAUAUGGGAUUGGCUAGUAGGUGAGGUAAUGGCUCACCUAGGCGACGAUCCCUAGCUGGUCUGAACGGAUGAUCGGCCACACUGGGACUGAGACACGGCCCAGACUCCUACGGAGGCAGCAGUGGGGAAUAUUGCACAAUGGGCGCAAGCCUGAUGCAGCCAUGCCGCGUGUAUGAAGAAGGCCCUAGGUUUGUAAAGUUCUUUCAGUCGGGAGGCGUUACCGACAGAGGAAGCACCGGCUAACUCCGUGCCAGCAGCCGCGGUAAUAC
rnacentral:rRNA from 1 species